rnacentral:rRNA from 1 species
AGCGGUGGCAAGCGUUGUUCGGAAUUACUGGGCGUAAAGGGCGCGUAGGCGGUCUUGCAAGUCCCGUGUGAAAUCCCUCGGCUCAACUGGGGAACUGCACGGGAAACUGUUUGGCUUGAGUUCGGGAGAGGGAAGCGGAAUUCCGGGUGUAGCGGUGAAAUGCGUAGAUAUCCGGAGGAACACCGGUGGCGAAGGCGGCUUCCUGGACCGAUACUGACGCUGAGGCGCGAAAGCUAGGGGAGCAAAUGGGAUUAGAUACCCCGGUAGUCCUAGCUGUAAACGAUGAGUGCUGGGUGUAGAGGGUAUUAACCCCUUCUGUGCCGAAGCUAACGCAUUAAGCACUCCGCCUGGGGAGUACGGUCGCAAGGCUG